rnacentral:snRNA from 1 species
CCGAUCUUCAAUCCAACCUAAACAUAGAGAACGAUACAGAGAAGAUUAGCAUUACCCCGGCGCAAGGAUGACACGCAUAAAAGAAUGUGCUUUAAGUUUUC